GAUGAAGAACGUAGCGAAAUGCGAUACGUAAUGUGAAUUGCAGAAUUCAGUGAAUCAUCGAAUCUUUGAACGCAUAUUGCGCUCUCUGGUAUUCCGGAGAGCAUGCUUGUUUGAGUAUCAGUAAACACCUCAACUUCCAUAUCUUUUUUGAAAUGGGAGUUGGACUUGAGUGAUCCCAACGCUUUUCCUCACCGAAAAGUGGCGGGUUACUUGAAAUGCAGGUGCAGCUGGACUUUUCUCUGAGCUAUAAGCAUAUCUAUUUAGUCUGCCUAAAAAACAGAUUAUUACCUUUGCUGCAGCUAACAUAAAGGAGAUUAGUUCUUGUGCUGACUGAUGCAGGAUUCACAAAGACAGGCUUCGGCCGACUUUGUAAACUCGAUCUCAAAUCGAGUAAGACUACCCGCUGAACUUAAGCAUAUCAAUAAGCGGAGGA
rnacentral:misc_RNA from 1 species